UUGAUUCGGCUUUGAGGGCUUGCUAUAAUCCAUUUCCUGUGAUUGAUGGAAGAAGAGCAAACUGUAAUCUUGCAUCGCUUGGUGCUCAAAAGAAUCGUCUAUCUUCUGCUUCUCACCCUGGUCAGUAUUCACCCAUAUACAUCAAAUCAAAAUAUGGCUGUUAGAUUAUAUUUUUUGUCUCCCAUACUUUGCUGCUUAAUUUCCGUCACCUUAAUUGCUGUAAUCGUAUUUAUUGCUUUAUGAUCAGUUUUCGUAUGUUUGGCAUAAGUUGCAGGGAUUGAGAAAUUUAGCCCAUCCGCACCAGCACCACCACCUCGAGUCAUGGCACCAUCCGUUGCUGCUACUCCGGCAUUUUACCGUCAAUUCAUUCCGCAAUACGCAUUUCCUUAUUCGGCUUACGGGUGGGUAGAUAGAUCGGAUUUCAUAAUCUCUCUGCCUUGCUUAAAUUGUGUUAAUUUCUUGUUUCCGUAGGUGGUUCAAUGUUCUAAAAAUGAUUGUCUUUUGACAUUCAGGUAUCCUGGCUACACGCAAAAUAUGUCUCCAAUGGUUAGUCUCUUGUUAUCAUCUUAUAUUAUACCUUCAUACAUAUAAUAGGCCUAACAAUUGAACAUAAAAUGUGUGAUCAAAAGGUAAUACAAACAUGACACAAAUACAUGAAUGCAUUGUUUUUUAUAUGGUUAUUGUUGCCAACUUGUAACAUGAAUCCUUGAUUGUUGUCUAAGAUGAAACAUUACAAAAAUGUAAAAGCAAUGUAGUGAUUUGAAAAUGGUGAAUGUUAUUUGCAGAGCUAUUACAAUGUAUAUGGAGGGCAAGCGUUCUCAUCCCAUUACAGUAGCAGUGGGGCGUCAGGAUCCGCUGGAGUCUACAUGGGUUACUUCCCAUUCUAUCCCCAGCAUGGGCAUGGGCAUGG
rnacentral:lncRNA from 1 species